UUUAAGGAUUUUUCCACAGACAUUGUGACACAACACACACACACAAAAAAAAAAUAAAAAAUAAAAAUACCCCUACUGUCUUUUAAAGGCACUGUUCAGCAUCCGGUCGCAUAUCAGUUAAUUAAUAAUUAAAUUAACAAUUGCAGCAAGUGACACACCGUUUUUCAAUGUAUAUGUAAGUUUAAAAAAAUAAAUAAAUAAAAAUGUGCCCUUAACCUCUAGUAGGCUUACUGAUUAUUUAUACUGAUAUAUAAAUAAAUAACCUACAAUAAAAUUAACUACUUGACUCUGUUCGUUUGCACCAUAUGCUGAGAAAUAUGACCAGUUGCACUUACACAGACAUUUCACUUUGUAGUCCUCAUUUUUUAAUGUAUAUUUUAUUUUAUUUUAUUUUUUCCGGUGGUCUGUGCUCACCAGACAUGGGCCAGCUGACAUCGGCUUCUGAAAUACACUGUUUGUAAUGGCACAUAUAAACGAGAGGGAUAAUCUACAAAUCAGCCAGUAAAAUGCACAAGAUGUAGUAUUUCCUGUUUAUUUUGCAACAAGCUACUGAUUGGUGAGUAAUGGUGAAGAUAUGAAGCACCUCAUUCUAGAGUUGUGGAGAGUUGUUGUGCAAUUGCAGCAUAUGGCUUGCGUUCAGCUGGUGGAAGCGGCUGCCUGUGUAACUCUGCAACAGAAGCUUCCAGAGUCUUACUCGGUCACUGUGAGGAUGCUAAUAUCAGAUCAAUAUCUAAUCUAAUCUCUGUGUUUUCUUAAAAAAAAUGAAUGAAGACGUGGGAUUUGUCUCUCAGACACCCAUGUUCCUGCAUGGAUCUCAUUAUGGAUGGAAGCUAAUCACCUAAAACUAAAUCUCAUCAAGACUGAGCUGUUGUGUGUACACUCACUGAGUACUUUAUUAGGAGCACCUGUACACCUAUUCAUUCAUGCAAUUAUCCAAUCAGCCAAUCAUGUGGCAGCAGUGCAAUGCAAAAAAUCCUGCAGAGACAGGCCAGCAGCUUCGGGUAAUGUUCACAUCAUUCAUCAGAAUGGGGGGGAAAGUGUGAUCUCAGUGAUUUUGACCGUGGCAUGAUUGUUGGUGCCAGAUGGGCUGGUUUGAGUAUUUCUAUAACUGCUGAUCUCCUGGGAUUUUCAUGCACAAAAGCCUCUAGAGUUUACUCAGAAUGGUGCAAUAAAGAAAAAACAUCCUGUGAGCAGCAGUUCUGCAGAUGGAAACGCCUUGUUGAUGAGAGAGGUCAGUGGAGAAUGGCCAGACUGGUUGGAGCUGACAGAAAGGCUACAGUAACUCAGAUAACCACUCUGUAUAAUUAUAGUGAGCAGAAAAGCAUUUCAGAAUGCACAACACAUCGAACCUUGAGGCGGAACUUCAACAGCAGAAGACCACAUUGGGUUCCACUUCUGUCAGCCAAGAACAGAAAGCUGAGGCUGCAGUGGGCACAGGUUCACCAAAACUGGACAGUUGAAGGCUGGAAAAAAGUAGCUUGGUCUGAGGAAUCUCAGUUUCUGCAAAGGCAAACAGAUGAUAGGGUCAGAAUUUGGCACCAACAGCAUGAAUCCAUGGACCCAACCUGCCUUGUGUCACCAGUCCAGGCUGGUGGAGGUGGUGUAAUGGUGUGGGAAUGUUUUCUUGGCACACUUUGGGCCUGUUACUACCAAUCAAUCAUCGCUUGAAUGCCACAGCCUAUUUGAGCAUUGUUCCUGACCAUGUGCAUCCCUUCAUAGCCACAAAUUACCCAUCUUCUAAUGGCUACUUCCAGCAUGAUGAUGCAAAGCAAAAGUCAUCUCAAACUGGUUUCAUGAACAUGACACUGAGUUCAAUGUUCUUCAGUGGUCUUCCCAGUCAUCUUCAGGAUCUGAAUCCCAUAGAACAUAUUUGGGAUUUGGUAGAAAGGGAGAUUCACAGCAUGAAAGUGCACCUGAAAAAUCUGCAAGAACUGCAUGAUGCAAUCAUGUCAACAUGGACCAGAAUCUCAAAGGAAUGUUUCCAACAUCUUGUGGAAUCCAUGCCAUGAAAAACUGAGGUUGUUUUGAGAGCAAAGGGAGGCCCUACCCAGUAUCAGUAUAGUGUUCCUAAUAAAGUGUUCGGUGUACAUAUAUCUCUGUGGAUGCAUCACUAUGUCAAGAAUAAAACUUGUCCAGAGCAGUGGGCCCAUGAGGACGCCCCAAAUUCUUACACAUGCUCCUGGGUUUGGUCCUGGAGUCAUUCAAAGGAGACAUUCAGCAGCUUUCUAGCAGCUUUAAUCAAGCCAAUACAGUUUCAUAAGUCAGAUUGUCCAAUGAUGUGGUCAAAACUGGGAGAAAAUUACACUUAUGACCCCUAAAUGAUGCUAAAUGUGCUCAAAUUCAAUAACAGCAUCAUUAUUUUCAAGCAUAAGGGCAGGGCAGUCUACAGAUAUUGAUCCAUUGAUCCAUGAUUCAGUGAUAUUCAUGCUCAGACGCACGCCUCCAUUUCUUUCCCGAUUCUGGAUUAAUGUUCCAUGAACAUGUCCCAGUUGCUUUGAGACUCCUGUAGGAAAUUGGUGGAUGAUUUAUUGCCGCUAUCAAGGCUGAGUUUUCUUUACGGCUUCGCAUUAUCACAAUAUUUGGCUACAGAAGUUUAGUCAGCAUCCUGAGGAAAAAGAAUGAGAAUCUCUCUCAGCGUGUUUGGAUGAACUGGAAAUCAUGCCAAUUGAUACAAUCCAGGUCAAAUGUUACUUGUGUCAAGCGUUGAACAUGGCAUGUAGUAUUCUGUCCAUGUCAUCGAGCCUGUUCUACUUACUUACUUACUACUCCUUACUUACUAGAAGAAUCAAAAAAGCUACUUUAAAUUUAAAAUUUCAACCCAUAUUAAUGCAUUGUGAAGCUUUUUGAGAAUGGCUGUCAUGUUCUCAUGAAGGCAGGUAUACCAUACUGUUUGCUGUUACGAUCACUGUUAUUGUAUUAUUGGGAUAAAAUAUUAGUCACAGCGUGAGUUUAGAUCAUGCAGGAGCUCCAGGGCAGGAUCUGUGCUUCUCUUCAGAGUGUAAUAUAUCCUGCUUUCUGUCCUUGAAGCUAUAGAGGGCAGUGAUCGCUCAGUGGUCAAGGUUUUUUGCGACUGAAAUUUUGUGAAUUGACAAAGAACCACUGAUCUGCUCUUGACCAAAAUCAGUAACCAUCAGCUGCUUUUUUCUGACUCACACCUACAGAUGGAUGACAAAUCAUUGGAAAACCAGUGGCUCCGUUAUGCUGUCAUGCUCUGGGGGGCAUUUAUUUAUUUCAUUGCCAUGUUUUGGCUCCACAUGGUUUGUACACGUAGACAGAAACAUCACUGCAAAUCAAUACUGCAGUUCUUCAGACUGAUCACAUUUAUCCUAUGAUGGAACAUUUCUCUUCUGGUGGGCGUGGUCUCUUCCAGGAUGGCUCCACCCCAUGCACAAAGAGUGAGGGCUCACUGAAUGGGGAUGAAAAUGUUGUAAAUCAUACGCUAUGGCCUUCACACUCAUGAGAUCUCAACCCAGUGGGAGAUUUUAAGUUGAUGUCUUAGACAGCGCUGUACACCACCAUCAUCACAACACCAACUGAGGAAGAACGCUAUUCAUCGCUCCACUACAGCUCCAGAGACGUGUAGAAUCGAUUCCAAGAAGUCAGUAGAAAAGAAGGUUUCCAUAAAAAUGAAAUGAAUCUUCAAAGUUGUCUGGAAAUCAAGUCUAAAGGGGAACCAUGGCAGAUCCUUGAAGAUGCAUGGAACGCAAUUUUACAUAUAUAUAAAGCAAUAUUAUAAGGUUGGUUGACUGUCAUAAGGCUAAUUUAUAUAUUAUUUAGUAAGCUGGCUGGACUAGCUAACUAACUGGUUCCUGCAUUUUAUUUUCCUCCAUGUAAAAUUGCCUUUAAUCCAUUUACAGGGCAUUUGGGAAAUACUCUACUAGCUAAACUGAAUCAGCUUUUUUUUUCAGAGUUAAAAAAUACUUUAAGUUUAUAGCACGAAAGCAGUAUAACAUUGAGUAUACAGACACUAUAAUAUUUGUUUAAAUUCAAAAUCCUACCUAUUUAUUUAUUUAUUUAUUUUACAGUUCAGACUGUACGUUAUGUUAAAUCAGUCAACAACCGUAGGUGAGUUCGCUCUCAUCUAUUAAAAAAAAGAAAGAAAAAAAAAAAAAGAAAGUAUGUAGAGUCUCUCAUCAGUUUAAACCAGAAUGAGUAAACAGGAAAAGAAUCAACUUCAGGGUGAAUAAACCACACUUAAACCACACCAAUUUGUCAAUGAAUACAUCUUUGAUUUACUAAUUAUCACCAUGUUGUACGUUUUAUCCACUUGCAGCUACAUUUAAUGUUGAGGAACAUCAUCGAAACAUGUUAGUUCCACUUCCAUUAUAGUAGCUCUAUACAGUCAUUCCCUCACCAGCCUCUCUUUUUUUCUCUCUCUUCAAGUCAAUAAGAUGAACAAAAUGCAGCUUGUCAUGUCAGAGAGACCAGAAAGUGCAAACCUUCACACCCUGAUUUCUCUGUUCUCUAUUAUUAGGCUUAGAAUAUGUAGAGUGUCCAUCAUUCAAGUCUCUGUGUAUGAGCUGUUACUAUAGAAACGAUAACAUAUUAGAAUGAGCGCAUUGAUAUAAACCUGUAAUUUGUAGCUGCACUGAUGUCAGAGCUGCUCUUAUAGAAAAAGAAUCAACACUUUCUGGCCAAUCAGAAUCGAGAGGAAUCAGAAGCAACCAGAAGCAAUCAAAGCGCAAAAGGUGAAAUGCUAUGUGUUGAGCAGAAACAUCUCAGCCCUGCAUGAUAUGGGGUUUUAUGAAAAUGAUGGAGAAAUGAGAAGCUGAGCUUGUAGAUGAGCAAUCUGUUCUGUAGCAUCAGUUAUCGGCAACCUCGUGUAAGUCUCUCUCUCUCUCUCUCUCUCUCUCUCUCUCUCUCUCGGGGAAAUAGAGGCAUACAGGUAAUAAGAGCAAUCUGUGCUAAGGUGAAGUGUUUGGUUUCAUAUCCAGAGGCCAGUGCAUCUUAUUUACAAUAUGACAAAGUUACAUGUUAAUAUAAAUCUAAUAUUUCAUGUACAUUGCGGUUUAUUCUGAUAAAUAAUCCCUGUUGCAGUGUCUCUGACUAAAGCCACGAUUUCUGUCAUAAUGGAUAAAGUACGGAGUUGUCUUGAUGCUGUAGAUGUAGAGACGCGUCAGAUGAAAUAUAAUAUCUAAAUAUAAAUAAAACGCCUUCCCAUUGAGUGAAUAACUGUCCAAUAUGUAAAUAGGCUAUCAUUUAUACAAUUAAAAUUUGGCCCAGGGAAUUUUAUUGCAGGAGCAAAUAUAAAAACACGAUGCAAUAAACAGGAAGCCUUAAGGAAAAUGAAAGUUAAUAAAGAAAAUGAAAUAAAAAAAGGCCCAUAAUAAGUAAAAUAAUUUUAACAGGAAGUGAUAACUAGUAAGGUUGUAAAUCAAGAUGAGUAAAAUUAAUAAAAGCCAAAAAUAAAAUUGGACUGUUGUGAUAAUUAUUAGAAAUAGUAGUAUGAUUCAAUUUUGGAAGUUUAAACUAUAUUAUAAACUAAUAAAAGAGAGUAUUAAAUAUUGAGAGUGGUUAAAUGUAAAUCCUUAGAGCACUAAAGCAAAAGGCUUAGAUGUUGAUUUGGAGGCGAGCCAGUUACCAUCAGAAGUCACAUGAUUAGCUGAAUGGUGUUCAUGGGUGUGCAAUUAAAGUGUCACAUGACCUCUGUAUAAAUCCACCCAUUGGUGGAAGAACCUUGAGUUUGUUAGAGAACAUAUCUAAACAAACAGCAUCAUGAAGACCAAGGCACAAAGUUCUGGAAAAGUGUGAGGGGUCAUGGGGAGCCUAUCCCAGGGGACUCAGGGCACACCAUGGACCCACUGGAAGGCACAAUCUCACACACACACACACACACACACACACACACACACCAUGGACAAUUUGGAAAUCAGCCUACAAGGCAUGUCUUUGGACUGGGGAGGAAACCCUCAAAGCACAGAGAGAACAUGCAAACUCUGCACACACACACAUGUCGGAGGCGUGAGGAAAACGUGCCAACCACUAAGCCACCAUGCCCUCUAAUUAAAAGCUUGUUUAAAUGAAAUUUAGUAUAAGCAAUGAAACUAUGUUCUCUUAAAUCUGACCAAGCACAUAUUCCUUUGUUUUCUUGUGUUUUUGAUGUUUGGAGAGAAAUCUAUUGGUUUCUGACUAAUAGAAUGUGAUUUUACUGGAGUGGUGGCUGUAUUUGUUCAAGCAACAUUGAAAGAAAAUGACUGUGUGUCCAGAGAGCACGGGAUUAGUCUCAAGUAAUGAUAGCCAUCACUGUGUUGUUGAGUUCAGUUGUCCUUGGUUAUUAAAAUGAUAUUAUACCACA